CAGGCUUUGGGUAGCUGUAAGUAAGCGUUGAUCCAGAGAUUUCCGAAUGGGGGAACCCAGCAUGAGUUAUGUCAUGUUAUCGACAUGUGAAUUCAUAGCAUGUCAGAAGGCAGACCCGGAGAACUGAAACAUCUUAGUACCCGGAGGAAGAGAAAGAAAAAUCGAUUCCCUGAGUAGCGGCGAGCGAAACGGGAAGAGCCCAAACCAACAAGCUUGCUUGUUGGGGUUGUAGGACACUCUAUACGGAGUUACAAAAGAACAUGUUAGACGAAUCAUCUGGAAAGAUGAAUCAAAGAAGGUAAUAAUCCUGUAGUCGAAAACAUAUUCUCUCUUGAGUGGAUCCUGAGUACGACGGAGCACGUGAAAUUCCGUCGGAAUCUGGGAGGACCAUCUCCUAAGGCUAAAUACUCUCUAGUGACCGAUAGUGAACCAGUACCGUGAGGGAAAGGUGAAAAGUACCCCGGAAGGGGAGUGAAAGAGAACUUGAAACCGUGUGCUUACAAGUAGUCAGAGCCCGUUAAUGGGUGAUGGCGUGCCUUUUGUAGAAUGAACCGGCGAGUUACGAUCUGAUGCAAGGUUAAGCAGCAAAUGUGGAGCCGCAGCGAAAGCGAGUCUGAAUAGGGCGUUGAGUAUUUGGUCGUAGACCCGAAACCAGGUGAUCUACCCUUGGUCAGGUUGAAGUUCAGGUAACACUGAAUGGAGGACCGAACCGACUUACGUUGAAAAGUGAGCGGAUGAACUGAGGGUAGCGGAGAAAUUCCAAUCGAACUUGGAGAUAGCUGGUUCUCUCCGAAAUAGCUUUAGGGCUAGCCUCAAGUGAUGAUUAUUGGAGGUAGAGCACUGUUUGGACGAGGGGCCCCUCUCGGGUUACCGAAUUCAGACAAACUCCGAAUGCCAAUUAAUUUAACUUGGGAGUCAGAACAUGGGUGAUAAGGUCCGUGUUCGAAAGGGAAACAGCCCAGACCACCAGCUAAGGUCCCAAAAUAUAUGUUAAGUGGAAAAGGAUGUGGCG
rnacentral:rRNA from 1 species